ensembl:ncRNA asRNA:CR45738 antisense RNA:CR45738
ACUCGAGAUGUGGACAGGAAUCUGGUGGAGAAGGCCGUUGGAGCAUGGUUGUGGGUGGCUAGGAGAAGCUUCUGGCACUGGCUGAUGGUUCCUGGAAGGCGACGGUUCAUCGCAACAGCUGGAUGAUCUUCGAUCCCUCAAUCUGCGUUAAAGAAAAACAAAACGGACUGCAAGUGCCCACAACCGAUUGAAGACUGGCAAAAAAGAGCUUUCAAUGGGGGGUUAUCAAACCGGCUGCACUGGCAAAAAGUUUGGUCUAUUUCAAAUUUAGAAAAAACUUUAGAAAUUUAAAAAAUGCCGAAGAUGCUUAGGCGGCACUGUGUAGUGCUUCCCAACAUUUCGACCGGCUAUCAAGGAAAACAAAACGAGUGUGGGAAAAUUUGUCAGUGAAAUCGAACAUAACAACUGAUUUUGAACACAAGUAAAUAACACAUUAG